GACGAACGCUGGCGGCGUGCUUAACACAUGCAAGUCGAACGGAAAGGCCUGCUUUCCCUUGUGGAUUGCGGGUACUCGAGUGGCGAACGGGUGAGUAACACGUGAGUGAUCUGCCCCCAACUUGGGUAUAAGCCUGGGAAACUGGGUCUAAUUCCCGAUAGGACUGCAGGGUGGUGCCUGUGGUGGAAAACGAUUUUCUAGUGGUUGGGGAUGAGCUCGCGGCCUAUCAGCUUGUUGGUGGGGUAAUGGCCUACCAAGGCGGCGACGGGUAGCGGGCCUGAGAGGGUGGACGGCCACAUUGGGACUGAGAUACGGCCCAGACUCCUACGGGAGGCAGCAGUGGGGAAUAUUGCACAAUGGGCGGAAGCCUGAUGCAGCGACGCCGCGUGGGGGAUGACGGCCUUCGGGUUGUAAACUCCUUUCGACCGCGAGGAAGCCACCUGGUUGGAAGGGUGGUGACGGUAGUGGUAGAAGAAGCACCGGCUAACUACGUG
rnacentral:rRNA from 1 species